rnacentral:rRNA from 1 species
GAAAUUAAAAAAUUAAAGAAAAAUAUAAUUAAUAAAAGAAUUUUUAACUAAAAAAUUAAAUUAAAGUAAUUAUUUAAGAAAAAAUAAAAAAUAUUUAUAAUUAAUUAGUAUUGUAAAAGAAUUUUGAAAUAAUUUAAAUAUAAAUUAAUUAAAAGUAAUUUUUAUUUAAUGUAUCUUGUGUAUCAGAGUUUAUUAAAAAAUUAAUUUAUAAAAAUAAUUCUCGAAUUUAAGAGAGAUAAUUAAUUAUAAAAUUUAUUGUAGAAUAAAUAUUUUUAAUAAUUAAUUUGAAAUGAAAUGUUAAUCGUUCUUAAAUAUAUCUAGUUUUUUUAGAAAAAAAUUUAAUUUAGAAUUUAUUUAUUUAUUUUAAAUUUUUAUUUUUAAAAUAAAAAAAUAAAUUUAAUAAUUUAAGGGAUAAGCUUUAAAUUAAAUUAAUAUAAUUAAUUUAAUUUAAAUUAGGAAAAUUAUAUGAUUUAUAUUGUUAAAUAUUUUUAAUUUAUUAUAAAUAAUUUCAUAAAAAAUAAAAUUUAAUAGAAAUUUAUAAUUUUAUAAAAAAGAAUAUUAAAAUUGAAUAAAUAUUGUUAUAAUGAUAAAAUUAGUAUAAAAAUAAAUAAAUAAAAUUUAAUUUUAAAAAAUUAUUUUUUAGGAAUUCGGCAAAAAUAAAUAUUCACUUGUUUAUCAAAAACAUGUCUUUUUGUAAAUAAUUUAAAGUCUAAUCUGCCCACUGAUUUUAAAUUAAAGGGCUGCAGUAUUUUGACUGUACAAAGGUAGCAUAAUCAUUAGUCAUUUAAUUGAUGACUUGUAUGAAAGAUUGGAUGAGAUAUUAUCUGUCUUAAUAAUAAAUUGUAGAAUUUAAUUUUUUAGUUAAAAAGCUAAAAUAAUUUAAAAAGACGAGAAGACCCUAUAGAGUUUAAUUAAAUUAUAAAAUUUAUUAAUUUAUAUAAAUUUAUGUUAGGAAUUUUAUUUUUAAUUUUAUUGGGGUGAUAGAAAAAUUAAAUUAACUUUUUUUAAAAUAUUAACAUAUAUAAGUGAAUAUUUGAUCCAAUUUUAUUGAUUAAAAGAAAAAAUUACCUUAGGGAUAACAGCGUAAUUUUUUUUUUUAGUUCAUAUAAAAAAAAAAGUUUGCGACCUCGAUGUUGGAUUAAGAUAAAAUUUAAAUGUAGAAGUUUAAAGUUUUGAUCUGUUCGAUCAUUAAAAUCUUACAUGAUCUGAGUUCAAACCGGUGUAAGCCAGGUUGGUUUCUAUCUUUUAUAAUAAAAAAAUAUUUUAGUACGAAAGGAUUGAAUAUUUAAAUUAAAUUUAUUAUUUAGAAUUUUAUAAAAAAAAAUUAAUAAAAAAAUAUUUUUAAUUGAAAUAUAGAAUGACUAUUUUGACAGAAAAAAUG